rnacentral:rRNA from 1 species
GGGUUGUGAGGUUAAGCGACUAAGCGUACACGGUGGAUGCCCUGGCAGUCAGAGGCGAUGAAGGACGUGCUAAUCUGCGAAAAGCGCCGGCGAGGUGAUAUGAACCCUUGACCCGGCGAUGUCCGAAUGGGGAAACCCAGUGUGAUUCGUCACACUAUCGUUAACUGAAUACAUAGGUUAACGAGGCGAACCGGGGGAACUGAAACAUCUAAGUACCCCGAGGAAAAGAAAUCAACCGAGAUUCCCCCAGUAGCGGCGAGCGAACGGGGAGCAGCCCAGAGUCUGAAUCAGCUUGUGUGUUAGUGGAAGCGUCUGGAAAGUCGCACGGUACAGGGUGACAGUCCCGUACACGAAAAUGCACAGGCUGUGAACUCGAAGAGUAGGGCGGGACACGUGGUAUCCUGUCUGAAUAUGGGGGGACCAUCCUCCAAGGCUAAAUACUCCUGACUGACCGAUAGUGAACCAGUACCGUGAGGGAAAGGCGAAAAGAACCCCGGCGAGGGGAGUGAAAAAGAACCUGAAACCGUGUACGUACAAGCAGUGGGAGCACCUUCGGGUGUGACUGCGUACCUUUUGUAUAAUGGGUCAGCGACUUAUAUUCUGUAGCAAGGUUAACCGUAUAGGGGAGCCGAAGGGAAACCGAGUCUUAACUGGGCGUUAAGUUGCAGGGUAUAGACCCGAAACCCGGUGAUCUAGCCAUGGGCAGGUUGAAGGUUGGGUAACACUAACUGGAGGACCGAACCGACUAAUGUUGAAAAAUUAGCGGAUGACUUGUGGCUGGGGGUGAAAGGCCAAUCAAACCGGGAGAUAGCUGGUUCUCCCCGAAAGCUAUUUAGGUAGCGCCUCGUGAACUCAUCUUCGGGGGUAGAGCACUGUUUCGGCUAGGGGGCCAUCCCGGCUUACCAACCCGAUGCAAACUACGAAUACCGAAGAAUGUUAUCACGGGAGACACACGGCGGGUGCUAACGUCCGUCGUGAAGAGGGAAACAACCCAGACCGCCAGCUAAGGUCCCAAAGUCAUGGUUAAGUGGGAAACGAUGUGGGAAGGCCCAGACAGCCAGGAUGUUGGCUUAGAAGCAGCCAUCAUUUAAAGAAAGCGUAAUAGCUCACUGGUCGAGUCGGCCUGCGCGGAAGAUGUAACGGGGCUAAACCAUGCACCGAAGCUGCGGCAGCGACGCUUAUGCGUUGUUGGGUAGGGGAGCGUUCUGUAAGCCGUUGAAGGUGGCCUGUGAGGGUUGCUGGAGGUAUCAGAAGUGCGAAUGCUGACAUAAGUAACGAUAAAGCGGGUGAAAAGCCCGCUCGCCGGAAGACCAAGGGUUCCUGUCCAACGUUAAUCGGGGCAGGGUGAGUCGACCCCUAAGGCGAGGCCGAAAGGCGUAGUCGAUGGGAAACAGGUUAAUAUUCCUGUACUUGGUGUUACUGCGAAGGGGGGACGGAGAAGGCUAUGUUAGCCGGGCGACGGUUGUCCCGGUUUAAGCAUGUAGGCGGAGGUUCCAGGUAAAUCCGGUACCUUUUAACGCUGAGGUGUGAUGACGAGGCACUACGGUGCUGAAGUAACAAAUGCCCUGCUUCCAGGAAAAGCCUCUAAGCAUCAGGUAACACGAAAUCGUACCCCAAACCGACACAGGUGGUCAGGUAGAGAAUACCAAGGCGCUUGAGAGAACUCGGGUGAAGGAACUAGGCAAAAU